UUUUUUUCAUUCUUUCUUCUUCAACCGUGGGAAAGAACUGAAAAUGGCAGCCAUGGAUGAGCUCCAUUCAGCCAAGCUUCUAUGGCUUAUAUAGAUGAUGAAAAUUGAGACUUGGACCUAGAACGGAAAGAAAUCGAUUUAUGGACGAGUAUGUCCUUUUCACAUUUGUGGUAUCGAGAGUUUCCAGGUUAGCUCGGGUUGGAGGCCGUCAGAGAUAUUAUCACCCUAUCGAGUUAACGUUAUCGGAGUAAGUAAAUUCAAGUGAUUUGAGUCUAUGGCAUGUAUAGGGUUUUAAUGUGAGUAUGUAAUAUUAUGAUUCAGCCAAAGGCAUUGGCUUGUUAUUAAGGUAGUAUUAGUCAUGUAAAUUGGCCUAUGUCGGCUAAUGACAUUAUGGGCCCAUAUGAUUAUUCUUAUGCAUGUAUGUUAUUAUCUCUUGUGAUGUGGCUUACAA